ensembl:lncRNA
GUCCAUGUUUGCUUUUUUUUUUUGUGUGCUGUGUUGGGGCGUACGUGAAGCGCUGUAGCUUCAAGUCGUGUCGCCUUACUGACUAUCAGAGUGAGGGCGCUGAGUUUGGAGUGCCAUCCGGUUCAACAUUUCUCUCCAGCCCCUGAGCUGACUCCAGUCCCCGAGCCCUGUCCGGUUCCUGAACCCUACUCCUUCCCGAGGGUGCCCCUCUUCCAGAUCUUCCAGAUCUUCCGGAAGGGGCCCACCCUCUACCUUGCCUUCCAGAGGGGUGCCGCCUUCUAAACCUUCCAGAAGGGGCCCGCCUUCUAAACCUUCCAGAAGGGGCCCGCCCUCUACCUUGCUUUCCCGAGGGGUUCCGCCUUCCAGACCUUCCAGAAGGGGCCCGCCAUCUACCUUGUCUUCGCCGAUGCCGGCCACCUGUGGGUCUUCGCAGUUGCAGGCCUCCAGACAUUUUUUUUUGUUCCCUCCUCCUGGCUCCACUCCACCCACCCUAUUUGGAUUUGACUCUUUUUUUUGCAUGUCGUGGGUCACCUGGUAGUUGACCCUUGAGGGGGGGGGGGUACUGUCAUGGUCUGUCUGUUUCCUUGUCUUGUUUUGGUGUGUUACCUGUUUUACUUUGGUAUCGGUCUCGUUUCUCCCCGUGUCAGGUUUCCCUCCUGUGUGAUUACUGCUCCCUCCCUAAUGUGUCUCAGCUGUUACUCGUUGUGUACCAUGUGUGUGUUUGGUAUUUAAGCCCUUGUCUUUCCUUUGUUCCUUGUCGGAUCAUUUAAGUUUGUGGUGAGUUGUGUCCUGUGUGUUACCUGUGUUCCCUGUUACCCGCGUCACCCGUGUCACCCGUGUUCCUUGCCUUUUGAGUAAAUAAAUUAUCCUUUUACCUGAACUGUCUGCGAUUGGGUCCUACCUGCCUGCCUGCCACCCGCUAACCGUGACACAGACAACGCAGCGAUAUCAUCAUGAGCAGUUCUAACUGGAGAGAGACUGAAACCGCAAGCCUGUGAUCAUGUAAGAUCUAGGAGAGAGACGCAGAGGAACUGUCCUUUGGAGGCUUUUGUUGGGAUAGAAAAAAAAGUGAUCAGCAAAAUAAAGAAUAAGUUGCACUUUUUGUACUUGUAAAUAGUUAA